rnacentral:rRNA from 1 species
AGAGUUUGAUCCUGGCUCAGAUUGAACGCUGGCGGCAUGCCUUACACAUGCAAGUCGAACGGCAGCAUGAUCUAGCUUGCUAGAUUGAUGGCGAGUGGCGGACGGGUGAGUAAUACAUCGGAACGUGCCCUGUAGUGGGGGAUAACUAGUCGAAAGAUUAGCUAAUACCGCAUACGACCUGAGGGUGAAAGUGGGGGACCGCAAGGCCUCAUGCUAUAGGAGCGGCCGAUGUCUGAUUAGCUAGUUAGUGGGGUAAAGGCCCACCAAGGCGACGAUCAGUAGCUGGUCUGAGAGGACGAUCAGCCACACUGGGACUGAGACACGGCCCAGACUCCUACGGGAGGCAGCAGUGGGGAAUUUUGGACAAUGGGCGAAAGCCUGAUCCAGCAAUGCCGCGUGUGUGAAGAAGGCCUUCGGGUUGUAAAGCACUUUUGUCCGGAAAGAAAUGGCUCUGGUUAAUACCUGGGGUCGAUGACGGUACCGGAAGAAUAAGGACCGGCUAACUACGUGCCAGCAGCCGCGGUAAUACGUAGGGUCCAAGCGUUAAUCGGAAUUACUGGGCGUAAAGCGUGCGCAGGCGGUUGUGCAAGACCGAUGUGAAAUCCCCGAGCUUAACUUGGGAAUUGCAUUGGUGACUGCACGGCUAGAGUGUGUCAGAGGGGGGUAGAAUUCCACGUGUAGCAGUGAAAUGCGUAGAGAUGUGGAGGAAUACCGAUGGCGAAGGCAGCCCCCUGGGAUAACACUGACGCUCAUGCACGAAAGCGUGGGGAGCAAACAGGAUUAGAUACCCUGGUAGUCCACGCCCUAAACGAUGUCAACUAGUUGUUGGGGAUUCAUUUCCUUAGUAACGUAGCUAACGCGUGAAGUUGACCGCCUGGGGAGUACGGUCGCAAGAUUAAAACUCAAAGGAAUUGACGGG